GGGCCGUUAGCUCAGUUGGUAGAGCACCGGGCUUUUAACCCGAUGGUCCUGGGUUCGAGCCCCAGGCGGCCCACCA
rnacentral:tRNA from 1 species